UGAAUACGAGAUGCUACGCCGUCGAAGCAGUCUAUGUCAUACUUCCAAGAAAAGCUUGCACUGUCAUAAACAAAUAAUGCCUGUACCAUAACCGACACAGGUGGGUAGGUAGAGUAUACUAAGGGGCGCGAGAUAACUCUCUCUAAGGAACUCGGCAAAAUGACUCCGUAACUUCGGGAGAAGGAGUGCCUUAUUUAUAAGGUUGCAAUAACAAGACCCAAGCAACUGUUUAUCAAAAACACAGGUCUCCGCUAAGUCGUAAGACGAUGUAUGGGGGCUGACGCCUGCCCAGUGCCAGAAGGUUAAAGAAGUUGGUUAGCAUUAGCGAAGCUGAUGACUGAAGCCCUGGUGAACGGCGGCCGUAACGAUAGCGGUCCUAAGGUAGCGAAAUUCCUUGUCGGGCAAGUUCCGACCCGCACGAAAGGCGUAAUGAUUUGGGUACUGUCUCAGAGAGGGACUCGGUGAAAUAGACUUGUCUGUGAAGAUGCGGACUACCUGCACCUGGACAGAAAGACCCUAUGAAGCUUUACUGUAACCUGAAAUUGAAAUUGGACUUUAUUUGCGCAGUAUAGGUGGGAGGCUUUGAAGAUAUUCUUGCGGGAAUGUUGGAGCCAUCAGUGAGAUACCACUCUUGUAAUGUUAGAUUUCUAACUUUGUAUCAUUAUCUGGUCAAAGAACAGUUUCAGGCGGGCAGUUUGACUGGGGCGGUCGCCUCCUAAACGGUAACGGAGGCGCACAAAGGUUUCCUCUGAACGGGUAGAAAUCGUAUCUAGAGUGUAAAGGCAUAAGGAAGCUUGACUGUGAGACCUACAAGUCGAGCAGGGACGAAAGUCGGUCUUAGUGAUCUGACGGUCUGAGUGGAAAGGCCGUCACUCAACGGAUAAAAGUUACUCUAGGAUAACAGGCUGAUCUCCCCCAAGAGUUCACAUCGACGGGGAGGUUUGGCACCUCGAUGUCGGCUCAUCGCAUCCUGGGGCGGUAGUACGUCCCAAGGGUUGGGCUGUUCGCCCAUGAAAGCGGUACGCGAGCUGGGUUCAGAACGUCGUGAGACAGUUCGGUCCAUAUCCGGUGUAGGCGUUAGAAUAUUGAGAGGAGCCUUCUCUAGUACGAGAGGACCGAGAAGGACACACCUCUGGUGUACCAGUUAUUGUGCCAACGGUAAACGCUGGGUAGCUAUGUGUGGAGCGGAUAACCGCUGAAAGCAUCUAAGUGGGAAGCCCACCUCAAGAUAAGUAUUCUCAC
rnacentral:rRNA from 1 species